rnacentral:tRNA from 2 species
GCCGGGGUGGCCGAGCGGCCCAAGGCGCGGGACUCGAGAUCCCGUCCCCGUCCAGGGGGCGUGGGUUCAAAUCCCACCCCCGGCG